UAGAGUUUGAUCAUGGCUCAGAUUGAACGCUGGCGGCAGGCCUAACACAUGCAAGUCGAGCGGAUGAGAGGAGCUUGCUCCUGGAUUCAGCGGCGGACGGGUGAGUAAUGCCUAGGAAUCUGCCUGGUAGUGGGGGACAACGUUUCGAAAGGAACGCUAAUACCGCAUACGUCCUACGGGAGAAAGCAGGGGACCUUCGGGCCUUGCGCUAUCAGAUGAGCCUAGGUCGGAUUAGCUAGUUGGUGAGGUAAUGGCUCACCAAGGCGACGAUCCGUAACUGGUCUGAGAGGAUGAUCAGUCACACUGGAACUGAGACACGGUCCAGACUCCUACGGGAGGCAGCAGUGGGGAAUAUUGGACAAUGGGCGAAAGCCUGAUCCAGCCAUGCCGCGUGUGUGAAGAAGGUCUUCGGAUUGUAAAGCACUUUAAGUUGGGAGGAAGGGCAGUAAAUUAAUACUUUGCUGUUUUGACGUUACCGACAGAAUAAGCACCGGCUAA
rnacentral:rRNA from 2 species